CCUUCGAUAGCUCAGUUGGUAGAGCGGAGGACUGUAGUGGCUUCCCAGGCAUCCUUAGGUCGCUGGUUCGAAUCCGGCUCGAAGGA
rnacentral:tRNA from 1 species